rnacentral:lncRNA from 10 species
GUAUGAUUCUAUCACCUAAAGAACCCUUAAUGACACAACAGAGUAUGUCCCAAUCCCCAAGGGAUUCCAUUCUUGCACACAGCCUCUUUUGGGCAUGGAGUCAGAAGAGCAGUUUCCAGCAACUACCUCACAGUCUCAAAACGCCUCCUCCUCCAGUGGGACCGGUCCACGUACACAACCUGAAGUGGCCCUGAGGUGGAGAUUUCUAGGGUCCUACAGCGGGUUUUUACAGGGAGCCUUUUUCCCGACAUCAUGCCGGCUUGGCCUGUACCAUUUUCCUCUGCUUGCCUGCCUCAGGAAUGUGCAUGGGCUAGUCUCAGGUCACCAGCCGUGAUUGUGAGCUCUGGCUAGUGCCAUAAUGAAUGUCACCAUUGCAUAGCAACUAGUCCCUGCAGCUUAACAGUGAAGGAGACCCCCAUGGGGGUGCAUAGGUGGUGGACUCUCACCUGUCUUCUCUGUGGGAUGCAAGGGAUAUUCCCAUGACGCUAGGAGGGGACAGAAGUGAGCCAGCCUGAAGAAAUGUCAAGCACAGCCCCAGCAAUAAGCAGUGAAAUCUGUAAGGAUCCAAAAAUCUCUGCAGGAUUGCUCAGGUCUGCUAGACAAUGUAGGGGGUAUCAACCUCAUCUGCACCAGUGAGAUGUCAAUCCGAGGUGUAACAAAACUGUUCCACAGUGGACUUGCCUUUAUCAUGGCUCCUGCCUUUCCCAGAGAGCUUCUGCAAGACCCACAAUGAAGAGAGGCAGUGAUGGCAAGAGCCCAGCCAUCUUUCUCUGACACCCGCCUCUGGGGUCUCAGCAACGGAGUCAGAAGAUCAGUUUCCAGUGACUACCUCACAGUAUCGAAACGUCUUCUCCUCCAGCACAACCCGACCACAGAGAUGGCACGAAUGGUUCCUGAGUUUGAGACUUUUAGGGUCUUGAAGUGGGUUUUGACAGCCAGCCUUUUUCACAAUAACAGGUCACUUCUGCCUGUACCAUUUUCCUCUGCUUAGGCAGCCUGACAGCUCUGAUGGCCUGGCACCUGAGCCUGCCUCACAAAUGCACAUGCACUACUCUUGGGGCACCAGGCCUCAUUGUGAGCUCUGGCUAGAGUCACAACAUAUGUCACUGCUGCCUAGGGACAAGUCUCUGCAGCUUGGCAGAGAAGGAGAACUCCGUGGAAGUGCAUCAGCAGUGGACUCUCGCCUGUCUUCUCAGUGGGACACAGGGCAUAUUCCCAUGAUCCUUGGAGAGGGCAGAUGUGAACCAGCCUGAAGAAACAUGAAGCACAGUCCCUUCAAUAAAUUGUGAAAUCC